GAACGCACAUUGCGCCCUUUGGUAUUCCAAAGGGCAUGCCUGUUCGAGCGUCAUUUGUACCCUCAAGCUUUGCUUGGUGUUGGGCGUCUUUUUGUCUCUCGCGAGACUCGCCUUAAAAUGAUUGGCAGCCGACCUACUGGUUUCGGAGCGCAGCACAAUUCUUGCACUUUGAAUCAGCCCUGGUUGAGCAUCCAUCAAGACCACAUUUUUUUAACUUUUGACCUCGGAUCAGGUAGGGAUACCCGCUGAACUUAAG
rnacentral:misc_RNA from 1 species